GUCACGUUAGCUCAGUGAGAAGAGCAGCGGCUCGUACGCAGGUCGCCGGUUCGAUUCCGGCACGUGACGCCA
rnacentral:tRNA from 1 species